GUGUCAGUAGCUCAAAGGAUAGAGCCCCGGUCUUCUACACCGACUGUUGCGUGUAUAGUGGACUGCAACAGUGAAAAGCUAAGUGCCUGCCGGGCGCACGUCCUUCACUUUCGCUUUCACUGUUUCAGUCCACUUGUCCCACCUGACGCACCA
rnacentral:tRNA from 1 species